rnacentral:ncRNA from 1 species
GACCGGUGCCUCCCCGUGCGGGAGGAGAAUAGGGAAGCAGGUGCAAGUCCUGAGCGAUCUCGUCACUGUGAGAGCUAUAAGGCAGUAUGUAUGUCACUGGGUUUUUGCCCGGGAAGGCGCUGCCGUCCGCCGCAAUAGGCGGUAUGCUUCAGCCAGGAGACCUGCCGGUCAUAA